ACUGAGAUAGUCUAAUUAGACACCCGAUUUCGACUCAGGAGAACUUACAAUUUAAGUCUCAGUA
rnacentral:tRNA from 1 species